rnacentral:rRNA from 1 species
UACAGAGGUCUCAAGCGUUGUUCGGAUUCAUUGGGCGUAAAGGGUGCGUAGGCGGCGCGGUAAGUCGGGUGUGAAAUCUUGGAGCUUAACUCCGAAACUGCAUUCGAUACUGCCGUGCUUGAGGACUGGAGAGGAGACUGGAAUUCCCGGUGUAGCGGUGAAAUGCGUAGAGAUCGGGAGGAACACCAGUGGCGAAGGCGGCUACCUGGACCAGCACUGACACUGAGGCACGAAAGCGUGGGGAGCAAACAGG